UACGUAGGGUGCAAGCGUUAAUCGGAAUUACUGGGCGUAAAGCGUGCGCAGGCGGUUUUGUAAGUCUGAUGUGAAAUCCCCGGGCUCAACCUGGGAAUUGCAUUGGAGACUGCAAGGCUAGAAUCUGGCAGAGGGGGGUAGAAUUCCACGUGUAGCAGUGAAAUGCGUAGAUAUGUGGAGGAACACCGAUGGCGAAGGCAGCCCCCUGGGUCAAGAUUGACGCUCAUGCACGAAAGCGUGGGGAG
rnacentral:rRNA from 1 species